UGGGGGAUAUUGCACAAUGGGCGAAAGCCUGAUGCAGCGACGCCGCGUGGGGGAUGAAGGCCUUCGGGUUGUAAACUUCUUUUGCUCUGAACAAGGCGUGCUAAUGGGUGUGUUGAGUGUAGGGGUUGAUUAGCGCCGGCUAACUACGUGCCAGCAGCCGCGGUAAUACGUAGGGCGCGAGCGUUGUCCGGAAUUAUUGGGCGUAAAGGGCUUGUAGGUGGCUGGUUGCGUCUGUCGUGAAAGCUCAUGGCUUAACUGUGGGUUUGCGGUGGGUACGGGCUGGCUUGAGUGCAGUAGGGGAGGCUGGAAUUCCUGGUGUAGCGGUGGAAUGCGCAGAUAUCAGGAGGAAUACCGGUGGCGAAGGCGGGUCUCUGGGCUGUUACUGACACUGAUGAGCGAAAGCAUGGGGAGCGAACAGG
rnacentral:rRNA from 1 species